AGCGAACGCUGGCGGCAGGCCUAACACAUGCAAGUCGAACGAAGCCUUCGGGCUUAGUGGCGGACGGGUGAGUAACACGUGGGAACGUACCUUUUGGUUCGGAACAACUCAGGGAAACUUGAGCUAAUACCGGAUGAGCCCUUAGGGGGAAAGAUUUAUCGCCGAAAGAGCGGCCCGCGUUAGAUUAGCUAGUUGGUGAGGUAAAGGCUCACCAAGGCUACGAUCUAUAGCUGGUCUGAGAGGAUGAUCAGCCACACUGGGACUGAGACACGGCCCAGACUCCUACGGGAGGCAGCAGUGGGGAAUCUUGCGCAAUGGGCGAAAGCCUGACGCAGCCAUGCCGCGUGAAUGAUGAAGGUCUUAGGAUUGUAAAAUACUUUUACCAGGGACGAUAAUGACGGUACCUGGAGAAAAAGCCCCGGCUAACUUCGUGCCAGCCGCCGCCGUAA
rnacentral:rRNA from 1 species